AUUGAACGCUGGCGGCAGGCCUAACACAUGCAAGUCGAGCGGAUGACGGGAGCUUGCUCCUUGAUUCAGCGGCGGACGGGUGAGUAAUGCCUAGGAAUCUGCCUGGUAGUGGGGGACAACGUUUCGAAAGGAACGCUAAUACCGCAUACGUCCUACGGGAGAAAGCAGGGGACCUUCGGGCCUUGCGCUAUCAGAUGAGCCUAGGUCGGAUUAGCUAGUUGGUGGGGUAAUGGCUCACCAAGGCGACGAUCCGUAACUGGUCUGGGAGGAUGAUCAGUCACACUGGAACCGAGACACGGUCCAGACUCCUACGGGAGGCAGCAGUGGGGAAUAUUGGACAAUGGGCGAAAGCCUGAUCCAGCCAUGCCGCGUGUGUGAAGAAGGUCUUCGGAUUGUAAAGCACUUUAAGUUGGGAGGAAGGGCAGUAAGCUAAUAUCUUGCUGUUUUGACGUUACCGACAGAAUAAGCACCGGCUAACUCUGUGCCAGCCGCCGCCGUAA
rnacentral:rRNA from 1 species